rnacentral:tRNA from 1 species
GGGGUUGUGGCUCAGUGGUAGAGCGCUUUCCUAGCAUGUUCAAGGAGGCCCUGGGUUCGAUCCUCAGCACCACA